rnacentral:rRNA from 1 species
UUAAAGUUGUUGCAGUUAAAAAGCUCGUAGUUGAACCUUGGGCCUGGCUUGCCGGUCCGCCUCACCGCGUGUACUGGUCCGGCCGGGCCUUUCCUUCUGGGGAACCGCAUGCCCUUCACUGGGCGUGUUGGGGAACCAGGACUUUUACUUUGAAAAAAUUAGAGUGUUCAAAGCAGGCCUUUGCUCGAAUACAUUAGCAUGGAAUAAUA